UAAACGACUCUCGGCAACGGAUAUCUCGGCUCUCGCAUCGAUGAAGAACGUAGCGAAAUGCGAUACUUGGUGUGAAUUGCAGAAUCCCGUGAACCAUCGAGUCUUUGAACGCAAGUUGCGCCCAAAGCCAUUAGGCCGAGGGCACGCCUGCCUGGGCGUCACAC
rnacentral:rRNA from 6 species